UUAAAGGGCCGCGGUAUUUGGACCGUGCUAAGGUAGCAUAAUAAAUAGUCUCUUAAUUAGAGUCUAGCAUGAACGGUUGGACGUGGGGUAGGCUGUUUUAAUUAUAAAAUUUGAAUUUUACUUUUAAGUGAAAGGGCUUAAAUUGUAUGGUGGGACGAUAAGACCCUAUAAAGCUUUAUAUUUUAUCUAUUGGUUUCAGCAGUUAAGGUUUGCUAUUCUUAUAGAGUAAAAUAUUUCGUUGGGGCGACGAGAAUAUAAAAUAGUAACUGUUUGUUUAAUAUAAAGAUUUUUAGGUGUAUUGAUCCUGGAUUAAGAUUAGAAGAAUUAAGUUACUUUAGGGAUAACAGCGUAAUUUCUCUUGAGAGUUCUUAUCGACAGAUGUAGUUGCGACCUCGAUGUUGAAUUAAAGUACCCCCAAGAUGCAGCAGUUUUGGUGGUGGGUCUGUUCGACCUUUAAA
rnacentral:rRNA from 1 species